ensembl:snRNA U6 U6 spliceosomal RNA
GUGCUCACUGUGGCAUCACAUAUACUAAAAUUGAAACAAUAUAGAUUAGCAUAGCCCCUGUGCAAGAAUGACAUGCAAAUUUAUGAAGCAUUCCAUAUUUUU